rnacentral:rRNA from 1 species
UACGUAGGGGGCUAGCGUUGUCCGGAAUCAUUGGGCGUAAAGAGCGUGUAGGCGGCCCGGUAAGUCCGCUGUGAAAGUCGGGGGCUCAACCCUCGAAUGCCGGCGGAUACUGUCGGGCUAGAGUCCGGAAGAGGCGAGUGGAAUUCCUGGUGUAGCGGUGAAAUGCGCAGAUAUCUGGAGGAACACCGGUGGCGAAGGCGGCAUCCUGGACCGAGAUUGACGCUGAACGGCGAAAGCUAGGGGAGCAAAC